AGGAGCAACAGCCCCAGUGGCGGGGCAGCUCUGGAAACGUGGAUUCAGCCCCCGCAGGAACUCCGGAGCUCUCCUUCUGCAGGGCCUGGAGGCUCCGGGGCGGG
rnacentral:pre_miRNA from 1 species